GCUGAACAAUGAGAUACAAACCUCCAGCAAGGAGGGUACGGAAACCGACGAAGGAGGGGUAGCCGGGCGGUUGGCCGUCACCGCUCUUUUACACAGGUUCCAAGAGGUGCUGCGACGUUACAUCGAGGACGAGAGACGCAGCGGUAAAUGCCCUCUGCCAAGAUACAGAUUGUCGGAAAUAUCAUUCGUAUUGAAAGCGGUAGCUACCCUGGUGGUGUCCUUGAAAAAGGCUCCCCCUAACAAGGUCGAUCGAUCGGUCUGGGAGCAACUGAUAGGCUUGUAUCCCUAUCUGGUCGAAUGUACCGUGGCCACGGCUUCGGGCCAGGUUUCACGUUCCCUGCGAGAAGCUCUGCUCCAGUACCACGAUCUGCUGCGAUCACCCACCAGUAAUUUACCAACGACAAACGGCGUUUGACCGGCAAACUCCUUUGGGAAUAACGAUCGUCGGGAUACCUAUUCGUAUUUGUACACGGAGUGAGUAUAAAUUCUUUACUUGAAUAUCGCCUAUCAACGAACAUUCCUAAAAGUGCGAAUUAGAAUACGAUGUUGAUUUUUAUCACACGGUUUGUUAAGGGGUCAAACAAAUAUAUGUAUAUAUAUACUACACAGACUGGACAACGUGAAAUUGCGCACCCCAUUUGCACAUGCGCGAUCGUCGGCAUUUGUUUCACAGCUGUCAAAUACAAGGAACUAACCUGAACUUUUCGACGAGUGUAUUUCUGUCUACAUUUAAUUAAUCUCUCAUUCAAUUUUAUUCCAUCUAACUUAUCUGUGUCUGGUUUUGUGUCGCAUUAUUCACCUGACACACCAUACCUCAGUCACAUUCAAAUACGGCGAUCUCAGCUGUAUUGGCGAUCGACAAUUUGACAGCUGAGGCUGAAAUCUGAGGCUGUUGGUACAACACGCUAGCAGCUGACAAAUUCGACCGUCGUUUUGAUUCGCGCUUGCGCACAAAAAAUGGGUGCGCAAUUUCACCUUGUCCGCUCUGUAUAUAUAUAUAUAUAUAUAUAUAUAUAUAUAUAUAUAUAUAUAUAUAUAUAUAUCUGUAUUCGCAAUUUUCAUACAUGUUUAUACAUAUUACCGCAGACACAGUACCAUUUUUAUAGAACUUUAGCGGUCCCGUCUAUAUAAGGCUUUAUGAUAACGAAAGACGAUAGGUUUUUCCGGUCGUUGACACGACGAACAAGUUCGAUGAAUAAUUUUCAGUGAUUAUCGUGAAUAUUAUUUUAAAUAUGAUGUAAUAUUACGUGACAGUUGUUGAAACGGCAACAAAAAAAAUCCCACAACCCGUUCGUCGAUAUUUUAAUAGACAUUGUUACACCCCAUCCCAGUUUUAUACUAUAUGUAUACUCAGUCAUAGGCUAUAAUCAAAACCGGUAUAUCGAAUGAAUAGUUGAAAUGGUAUCGAACCGCU
rnacentral:misc_RNA from 1 species